rnacentral:lncRNA from 1 species
GCAUCUAUGCAUACGGAGCAAAAAAUGAUGUAUAUAAUAAUAAGUUUGAGGCACUGAAAGAUCUUGAAUGAGCUUCUGAAUCAUCAGUUACUGUAUCUUUGGGGUGUAUUUGCACCAGGUAAAAAAGCUUUUUAUGGUUUGAAUCUUCUGAGAACACCAGAGAAAGACUCUCCUUACCAUCCUCACUGCAACUAAACUUCGGGACCCUGGGCUUUGGGUUCAUGGUCUCGCCACUGAAAAGGUUCCCUCCACACUUUUGGAAUUGUGCACCCAUUGGAACCCUUGAGGUAAAGCUAACCAGAGAAAUUUCUCCCAAGAAGAAGAAGAUGGCAUCCUUGAAGUGAACAGCUUUUCCCAAGUUCACAGAAAGUUUGCAGCCAGCCUUAUACAUGGAUAACCUUCUACUUUGAUAGAGAUGAAGGCCCAAUGCAGGUAAGAAACUUUAGUGGUACAUAUGUUGCCCCAUAAUCACUCAAAAACAAAAUAUUGGUUCAUCCCUCUUAACCCACAUCAUGGGUUAAAGAGAACAUUGCCAGGGGGUCUUCACUCUCCUAGAAGGGCAUCAUUUGUUAAGUCCUUUUUCCAUGGCUUAAAGUAAAGGAAGCAAUGAUUAGAAAUGUAUCCCUCAUGAUAGGCUCUAUAGCAAAUCUACUUUAAAGGCUAUCGUUACACAACAGAUUUUAAAUUCUCUUUGAAAGUUAUGCUAAAUAGAAUUGGCUAAACAAAGAAGUUCUUCUGCAGCUGCUGACACUUGCGGCCUAUGGAGAAACAGGUCAAAUGCAGAUUAUAAAAAUUCAGUGUAGGGGAUUAAUGAAAAGACCACUUAGUCAAGUGAGUAGACUCUUCAUCUAGCUCAUUCUUUAAACUAUUUAAGUGUAGGUGGUUUGGUUUCUAGGGACCCUGGUUAAGGAGCAUACUCUGAACUCUGGGUAUUUUCCUUCCAGUAGUGAUAAUAGUAGUCUCCUUGGUGCACUGUAUUCUCUCAAAGGUUUUAAAUGCUUGCAUGCAGCCAUCUCUAGAACAUCAAAUGGUCUCUCUUCGACUGGAAUGACAACAGCUGAAAGAAAUGUUCAACCAUGAGGACACCAUACCUAUAAAUGAUGUGCUGAGACUGGAAACCCAAAAUGUUGGUAACUGAGAAGUGGCACUAAGGCCCUAAGUUUUGGUUGCACACUCACCUAAGUGAGAACCUGACCAAAAAGGGGGGAUUUUUAAAACAAAACUCUGUGAGGCCAUUGUUUUGGACUAAGCUCAUGCACUCAUGCCCUGGGCCCCAACAGACUAAAGCAAACACAGAUGGAGUCAUUUGUGCUAAGACUUUAAGGAAACGCUUGGAUUCCACAACAGACUAGCUUUUGUUUUUUUCUUCUGCAAAUCUCUAUAACAAACAUUUCUGACAACAUAGGUAUCCACCCCCUGAAGUUCCCAUUAAAUCUUUUAACCAAAUUCAUUUCCUCUCACCUAGAGACCAUCAAGCUUCAGAUGAUGAUGCAACAAAGGUUUCAGCCAGUUCCAGGUGAAGACACCACCCUUGGACAUCAAGAAGCUACCCUGCCUCCACUAGAUAGAGCAGGGAGAGUUCUGUGAUCCCCAAUAGGGCCUUUGUAGACGCUAUCCCUUUGUGGAGAAGACUCUCAACACCCUUCAAAUACUAUGAUCUCAUCAGGAAGGCCCUCCCUGACCACCUAUGCCUGUUUAUUACAAUAGCAGCAGCAGCAGCAGCUUUCCAUUGAGGAGAAGGGUGGCUGGAUUCAGACUGGAGCAGGAAAGUAGGUCCCAGUGGGGAUUUUGAGCUGUGCAGGGGAUGCUCAGCUGGGAGCAACUGCAGUUACAAGGGCAGUGGCCGAGAGGUAAGACCCCUGUCCUCUGCAAAUACGUAAGCACAAUAUAUGUGAUCCUUCCUCUGCCAGUUUCCCCGCUGAUCAUCAGCAUCACCUGAAGUCCUUGUUAAAAAUAUCCAGAAAUACUCUGGCUCCACUCCUGAAGGUCUGGGGUGUGGCGUGGGAUCCUCUAUAUUGUCGAAGCACCCAGAUCGUUCUUCUCAUCUGGGAAAUGUGGGACUCACUGUCGCAGAAGGAGGUGAUCCUUGCAGGGCUGGGGAGAGGCUGACAUUUGGGUCACACAUUACUGACCCUGCUUCAGACAGAACGUACAGAAAAGGAG